AAACCCCGACUCCUCUCUUUUUCCUCUCUCACGCUCGUGUUGAAGUCCCGACUCCUCAAAAUCUCAAUCUCGAUCUCUCUCCAUCGCAGGGUUUCGUAGGCUCCGAAGAAUCGAUGGAUGGAGAUUCUCUCGAGAUCCAGUGAAGAAGACGAGGACGAGUACUUAAGACGCGAGGGUUCCUCUCAAAGAGGGGAUUUUACGGUGAGAUUUGAUGGGAAGAAUGCGGAGCAGAAGCAGCAGCUGCUGACGCCGAGAUCGAAGCAUUCUGCAAUGGAGCAACGGAGGAGGAGCAAAAUUAAUGACAGGUCUGUGAUUUUGAUGGAUAAUGCUGGUUCUCCUUUUUUUAUUCGCUGAAGUCUGUGCUAGUGUCUUUAG